CGUAUAUAUUUUAGUAUGAAAGACGAUCGUGAUUGAUAUUGUGUUACCUCAAACGUUAUGUUUACAUCGAACAAUAAUAUAUUAUCGUUUACACGAAGAAAUAGAUAUUUUGCGUUUCUUUUUUCUCACUUCGUUAAAAGUAAACACCAUAUACAUACUAUUCUACAUAACCUAAAAAAGAAAAAUAAAGAAAAGAAAAGAAAAAGAAGAAAGAAUUAAAAACAGAAAGGACAGAAGAAACGAGACGAAACGUAUUUCGACAAAAAGAAAACAAGAAAGAAAAGAAAAGAAAAAAAAAAAAAUCCAAACAAAAUACGAAACGCGAAUCGUUUCCGAACGAUUGGAAAGGUUAUGUGAUAACGAGAGAGCAAGAUGGUAGAAAAAGAAAAAAAAGAAAAAGAAAGAAAGAUGAAAAGGAAAGAAAGAAAAAAGAAAAAAGAAGAAGAAGAGUAUUCGAGAUCGCGUCAAAAUCGUUUCCAUGCGGAAGCUGCGAUCUUUGGUUUAAGAGAUCGUUCAAGACCGUUAACGUAGCUUACGAUUCUUGUCAGCUGCUGCUGUCUGGCGAGCAGAAGAGUCGACAUUGACGAUCACGUGUUCGUCCGAAUAUUAUCGGAGGACCAAUAAAAAGCGUAGAAAAUAAAUAAACAAAAGAAUGAACAAGCAAAUAAAUAAAUCGAUAAAUAAAUAAAUAAAUCAAUCAAUCGAUCAAUCAAUCAAUCAAUUAAAAAAAGAAAAAGAAAGAGAAAGGAAAAGAAGAAUAAAAAAAUAGCUUUACGUCGUGAGAUACUAAGGACGUUACGAAUAAAUCGAAAUGUUACAAAUUCGUCGAUGACGGCUCGACAUAUUGGAAGUUGUUAUCGUAAAAAAUAAUUUUUCAUUCCUACUUUCGUUAAAAUAUAUAUCUGACGGUGAACGAAAUAAAAUAAGGAAGAGAAAAGAUGAUCGAAAAUAAAGAAAGUAAGAAAGCGUGUUUGUACGAAGUUCGAAUAAUCGAAAUAAUUUCUGUGUUAUCAAAAAUGAAUCGACAAAGCUUGAUCGGGAUAAGUGUGUAAAAGAGAUGGCGUUGAUGAUACUCUAGCAACGUACUGACGUCUGACUAUCGUGCGUGUAGUAUUCUGUUUACAUGUAGAACGUAAUAAGCAAGGACAUACACGCACGUUAUACAUAUCUACCUAUACAAAUGCGGACACACUUACGCCAUCGUCAAAGCUAAAUAAACAUACGUAUAUAUAUAUAUAUAUACACACGUUUCUAAGCGUAAAUUCGCGAGUCGCGUGCCAGAUGUCGCUGCGAUCUCGCGAUCAGCCACGCGAAGUCGAAGAAAAAUUUUAACAAGAAAAAAGAAAAGGAAAAAGAUAAGGAAAAGAACAAAAAAAAAUAACAAGGAGAAAAAGAACAAGUAGAAGAAGGUAAUAUAGAAGAGAAAUAAUAAAAAGAAUAAGAUAUCGGAUGCUGGAUUAAAGAGGAAGAGAGGAAAAGGAGGAUAUGGAUGAGGAUGAGGAUGAGGAUGAGGAUGAGGAUGAGGAUGAGGAUGAGAAAGGAAAAAAAAAAUUAAAAAAAGAAAAAGAAGAAGGAAAGUGGGUAACGGAUAAGCGGUAGAGUUACGUCGUGAUGGUCUAAGAGAUUCUAGGCGCGGUCGCGGCCAAGGGUCCGUUAUAAUCCCACCCAAUGGCUACCGUCGUACCAAUGAACAAGAUGCUUUUACAUUUUACUUCCUCAAUGUGAUUUCUUCUUCUAUUUCUAUUUCUAUUUCUUUUCUUUUCUUUUCUUUUUUUUUUCUUUCUUUGUUUCUUCGUUUUCUUCUUCUUCUACUUUUACUUCUACUUCUUCUUUUUCUAUUUCCUCGCUGUGUCGAGAACUAUUUCUCGAACAUUCCAUUAAUUUAUUUUCUAUCUAUCUUAAUAAGAUAUAUGAUAUAAGUAAUCUCCUUGUUCAAGAUAAAAAAUAAUUUGUGUUAAAUUAUAAUAUCGUAAAUAUUGACAGAUUAUAUAUAUGUGUGUGUGUGUAUUUGUAAUUAUAGAAUAUUAUUACACUGUAAAUUAUAGAUCUGUUUAUCUAUAAAUAAUGCUGUGUGUGUGUGUGUGUGUGUGUGUGUGUGUAGAUCUAUUUAUAAUUUAAAGUUAGUAUAAAUACGAUUAAUGUAUCAUAAUCGAAAUUAUUAUUCAAUCUGAUUGGUUAAUAAUUUUUAAUAUUUUAAUAUUUCACAUACAUAUGUAUAUAAAUAUAUAAAUAAUGUUAGUAUUGAUUUUUUUUUCUUUUUUUUUUAGUUAAAAAUCUUUUAAUAUGUCGGUCGAAUCAGGAAUAUAAUUUUGUUUAAAAUCGUAUCUUUGCUUUGCAACGUAUUAUUUAUCAAUCAAUAGUAAUAUCAUCGCGAGAAACAAAUUGUUCUUCGUUGAAAAUGUAUUCGACUAAUACAUUUUCUUUUUCUCUCUCAUCAAGAACAUUUUGUACUCGCUUUUUCUCUCUGAUUUUCCAAUCCGUUCUUGACGUUAUAAAGAGGAAAAGUUGCAUCGUCGAGAGAAAUACUGAUCGAUGACGUUAGAUUUGCCGAGUCUCUCGUGAUCGAUGAAAACUAAUAUGGAUACAGUAAACAGAGCUCUCUCUCUCUCUCUCUCUCUCUCUCUCUCUCUCUCUCUCUCUCUCUCUCUUUUGCACUCUAUCAUUCAAUGCAAAAAAAAAAAAAGAAAGAAAGAAAGAAAGAAAAAGAGAAAAAGAUUGCUGACUUCAUUUAUUAAGUAUAAUAUACUUAUAUACUUUUAUUACGCUUAUGCAAGUUAUUUCUCAAGUUUCUUUUCACGAUUCUAACUAAAAUGGACGACAUCUUUGAUGGACAGAGAAGAAGGAUAUAAGAAAGAAUGAUUAUUUUUACACAAAGGAAACAUUACAUAUUGUAUGUAAAUGCGACUGAGUGAUUCAGAUUUUCUAUAUGAAAAGAGGAAGAACUUUAUAAACUAACAUGCCUCGUCCCGUUGUAUUUACAAAAUACAAAAUACUUUAAAGAAAAAACAACGAUAAGUUAUAUGUUGAAUGUAAUAUUAGCGUUAGACUUUUAUUCCAUUUUGAAUAAAAAAUUUCACAAAGGCAAAAAUCCUCGAGCUCGAGAUGAGGAAGAGAGAAAAAUUUACGCGAGAUUCUAUAUCAAAGGAAUAUAUAUACACACACUCAUGUGUGUGUGUGUGUGUGUGUAUGACCUACGAUACAAUGAAAUCUCGAACAAAGGCAAACGCGUUUUAACAAGUAAAGAAGUAUGUUUUCUAGUAAUUCAUAGAAUUAUGUACAUACAUCCAUCUAUCUAUCCAUCCAUACAUACAUACAUACAUACAUACAUACAUACAUACAUAUGUAAGUACAUAUCAAUAUACGUACGUAUAUAUUUUCGUAUCUCUAUGCGAGCAAGAAAGAGAGUUUGAGAGUUUGAUAAAGAAAAAGAAAGAAAGAGAGAGAGAGAGAGAGAAGAAACAAUUCGGAAGACAUUAGAUAAGAUUCGUACUUGGUUGGACUUUACGUAAGCGCGACUUCUCGUGAGAUGCCGGCAAUGAAUAAAAAAAAAGAAAAAGAAGAAGAAGAAGAAGAAGAAGAAGAAGAAGAAGUAGGAGGAGGAGGAUGAGGAGGAGGAAAGAGAGGUAAGAGGUAGAUAGGACUCGACUCGACGUCGUUCUGUCGGUCGAGAAAAACAAGUGAGGCGUUCUCUCUGGACUAGGCAAACCGAGCGAAAGAGAGCCGUGGCAAGGUCUAGGUUGGCUGCUAUUCAAGGUCGCGUGCAGAGCGCAAAGCCCGGAUCUAUCCCCGCCCCAGAUUUCAAGCGCCCUUUACUUCUUCCUCUCCUCUUCUAUCACUGCCUCUUUCUCUUUCUCUCUUUCUCUCUUUUAUACAUACACAUACAUAUACAUUCUUAUCCAUAGAGAUACGACUCUCUUGCUUUUUCUCUCUCGCUCGUAUCUACGCACCUAUACGUGUAUAUAUAAACACACAUACAUUUAUAUAUAUAUAUAUUUUACAGUACAUGUGUAGGUAGUAGGAUCAACACGUAUACGUAACACGUGUAUUUCUAAAUGUAUAACAGAGAGAGAGAGAGAGAGAGAGAGAGAGGGACGAAUCAACGUAUACAUACGAAAGACAUAUGUUUACAUGUACGAGUGACAGAGAGAGAGAGAGAGAUACGGACUGAUAUAUAUACAUAUAUAUAUAUGUGUGUGUGUGUAUAUAUAUAGGUAUAUAUACAGUUGUAUACACAGAGGAAAAAGAUAGACGCAGUCACACGGUCCACAAAUCGCGAAUUCCCCUUUUCACCCAUCUGUCUGCCACACGCGUUCCUCUUUCCUCUCUCUCCGUUCCCUCCCUUCUUCUAUUCCACUCCUUGUGACCGCUUUCGUCCUCUUCUCUCUCUCUCUCUCUCUCUCUCUCUCUCUCUCUCUCUCUCUCUCUCUCUUUCUCUCUGUCGCGCUUGAAUCGCGUGCAACAUCGAUUUACCCAUAAAAUUUUCCUGCGCUCGACGAGUCUCUAUCGCUCGCGACCAUCGGGCUUCUUGCCCGGGGCUCCCAACAACAACGUUUCAUUUCCCGAUUCUUUAUUCUAAUUCAUAAUGGAAGGACAAUAACUAUUCUUUUAAGAUCUGUGAAAAUCCUUCGUCGAUUUUUUUUACUCUUUUUUCUUUUCCCACGUUAACGUAUAUGUGUAUGGAUGUAUAUAUAUAUAUAUAUAUAUAUAGAAAAAGAGAGAGAGAGAGAGAGACACCUGUAUAUACAUAAACGGACGAAUAUGCAAUAGCAGACAAGAUAUAUAUGUACAUGUUACAUCUUAUAAGUAGAUAGACGUAUUAUACACAAGGCCGUUACGUGGAAGAACGAUUGGAUCUACUUGACUAAGAGGAAAAAGGCCGUGUAUUCGAGUCCGUCAUGGAAGGACGAACAAGACGUAAGUAUACGCCAUUUUGAUUCUAGAGUUUUAACGCAUAGAAGAAAAGGAAAGGGAUAGAUAAAGAAGAAACGACUACUUGCUUAUUUAGUUAUAUAUUAUAUUUAUACUAUAUUUAUUUACUUGUUUAAUACUUACCUAUGAUCUUUUUGAAAUAAUAAUUUUUAUAUGUAGGAUAGUUGGAUAAAUUUGGUUUUCUCUUUUUUUCUUUUUGUAAUUUAGAUACAUAUCUAUGGCGAUCCAAUUCAAGGAUUGAAGGAAAAUCCUACGAUGGGAUUUAAAAGUUUCAUGAGAGCGAAGAUACACGCGUCUCUCUCUCUCUCUCUCUCUACACAUACAUACAUACAUGUGUGUGUGUGUGUAUCUGAUGGUUACCUUUUCACGUAGCUACAUGUACAUAUAUAUAUAUAUAUAUAUACACACGCACAUGUAUGUAUAUAUGUAUGUACAAAUACAUGAGAAAAGAAAUGGCUUGUUCCUAAAGUAAAGAGAAACGACGAGAAAUGUUCGAGCGCAGUUGAAUUCCACAGACGCUCUUCUACGAUCUUCCUUGUCACGGAUGAAGUCACGGUAAUUGCGAAUUUAAAAGAUUUUGUCAACGCUUAGAAAGGAAGAGGGCGUCUCUUCAGUCAUUAAACGAAUACAUACGUACAUACACAUAUACGUACAUAUGUACGUACAUAUACAAAUGCAUAGAUGGAUAUAAUAUAACUGUGCGAUAUCCUGUCUCACUCUCUUCUCUAAAUUCAAUUCCGUUGACCUAGAUUAGGUGGUACGUGACACGAUGGAGAUUCGCCGUAGGUUCCCUCUCGUUGUCCCUAUCUAUGUAUCUCUCUAUCUAACUCCAUCUUUGUUCAUCUAUUUCUCUCUCUCUCUCUCUUUCUAUCUAUCUAUCUAUCUAUCUAUGUAUCUAUCUAUAUAUAUAUAUCUCUCUAUCUCUCUAUCUCUUUGUCUCUCUUUCUCUUUCUCUCUCUGUUUCUCUUUUGAUUCUCCUAUCCAAGCAGGUUCAACACGUUUCGUUCAGAUAGACGUAAUACUACAUGCACUUGCGUGAGAUAGUAUAUGUACGAUUAAACUCAACGGAUUCGUACGAGUUCGAGAUUUCUUUCAUACUUGAAAAUCUCGUAAUUUGAAAUCGAAACGAUUGACAUGAUCCAAACGAUACGAUAAUAUCUUGUAGCGAAUAAAUACAUAUGCGUAUAGAGCGUUAUAUUCGUAAGAAGAGAGAUAAUUCGUUAAUAGUCCAAGGCACGUGGACAAAGAUACGAAUGAAGAUAAAGAUAAAGAUAAAGAUAAAGAUAAAGAUAAAGAUAAAGAUAGAGUAAGUAAGAGAGAGAUAGCUAGAGAGACAGAACAGAAAACGAGCAGAGAACGGACACAUGGAAAACAAACGAAUAGAUAGAGAGAAAAUAGGAAAGAACGAAAAAAAAGGAGAAAUAAAAUAAAAAAAAAAAAGAGCAAGGAAAAAGAAAAAAUCGAUGAAUAAUUUCCGACUGGUGGACGAACGAAAAGCCAUCGAUUGAAAUUUUCAUCAGUCUUUCGCACUCUUUCCUUCUCUCUCUCUCUCUCUCUCUCUCUCUCUCUCUUGCUCGAUUAUUUAUUCAUGGCAUAACGAACGGCCGAGCAGACAACGAUACAGACCAACGAGCUCUAGCUAACACGAGAGAAAAAGAAGCAUGAAGAGUAGGAGAAGGUGAUAGGGACGGAAGCGGAACGGAACGGGACGGGCUGAACUGAGCUGAGCUGAGCUGAGCUGAGCGAGUCGGAUCGGAUCGGAUCGGAUUCGAUCGGAUCGGAUCGGAUCGGUAAAAAGCAAGAAAAAAAAAAGAUCCCCGUAGUGUGGUGUCGUUUGAGACAUUAUAGGUUGUUUACACGCCUUAAACCUGUAAAUUUUAAAGGGAACAAGCCAGUUUUAAGUCGCCUCGACUUUAUACGAACGGUUCUAAAAACGGAAUCUGAGAGGAUGAUCGAAUCAGAAUGAGAAAGAGAGAGAGAGAGAGAGAGAGAGAGAGAGAGAGAGAGAGAGAGAGAGAGAGAGAGAGAGAGAGAGAGAGGGAAGAGGAAGUUAUUCUACGAGUAAGUGCAGGAAUGUCGACGAGUGAAAUAUUUACUGACGUUCUAUCUCGUCGUCCAUCUUUUUCUUCGCACUUCGCUACUUCCGCCCUAGUGUGUGUAGUUUCUAAUCGUUUGAGUGUUAUUUGCAUCCUAAGUUUAUGCGAAUAAAAUACACGUAGUUACUAUGUAUAUCUAUAUAUGUACAUAUGUUUGUGUGUAUAUGUGUGUGUGCGUAUGUGUGUGUGUGUGUAUAUAUAUAUAUAUAUAUAGAUGCAUCCAUUCUUCGUGUUACUAUACGUGUUACUUCGAGUCGAACGAGGAAUAGAAUCAAAGAGACGUUUAUUAUCUAUUAUUUAUAUGUAUGUAUGUGCUUAUAGUAUUUCAUUUUUCCGAAGGUCUAUGCAAUAAUGACAAAUUUUCCUUUGCGAAAGGAAAAACGUGGAAUGACGAAGGAAAAUAAGUAACAAUAUCUUGGAUAUGUUGUUAUUACAAUUUUUAUUAUUAUUAUAAUUAAUAAUAAAUAAUUAUUAUUACUACUA